rnacentral:lncRNA from 1 species
GGAAUGGGAUUGGGUUUUUUUGUUUAGGAAUAGGUUUGAAAAUUCAAAAACUCUCCGUUUGAUUUUUUUCGAAAGGUAUUUAUGGGGUAGUUAUAACCAACCUGAGGGAGACGUGCGCAUGGAUGUGCGGGAGGUUAUGGGAUCGUGGUUGUUACGAUAGUAUCGUGGGAUGUUAUGGGAUCGUGGGCGGUUAGGGGAUCGUGGGAUGAUGGAAUCGUGGGUGAUCGUGAUGGGAUUGUGGGAUGAUGGGUGGUUACGAUAAGAUUGUGGAAUGAUGAGUGGUUACGAUGAGAUUGUGGGAAUAUUGCGAAUUAAUCCUUUCUCUUUGCUCAUAUUAGCGGAGCAUUUUGUAAAUACAUAAAAGGGAAUGGACUAUUUUUAUACCCGUUCGCACCUACGAGAACGUCCCACUUUCCGCGUUAAAAAUUUGAACUUAAAUUUUUAUCCAUGCACCUAGUGCAUGGAUCAUCUCAUAAACCAUCUCUUUUUUUUUAUUUCUUUCUCUCCCUUUUUUUUUUCUUUUUCUUUCUUUUUCCUCUUUUAUUCCUCUCUCUUUUUUUAUGCUUCAACAAG